rnacentral:misc_RNA from 1 species
GAUGAAGAACGCAGCGAAAUGCGAUAAGUAAUGCGAAUUGCAGAAUUCCAGUGAGUCAUCGAAUCUUUGAACGCACAUUGCGCCCGCUGGUAUUCCGGCGGGCAUGCCUGUUCGAGCGUCAUUUCAACCCUCAAGCUCUCCGGAGUUUGGUGUUGGGGCGCCUGGGGCUUUUCGACCUCAGGGCCCUCAAGUCCAUCGGCGGGACCGCCAGGACACUGAGCGCAGUAGUAUUAUUUCGCUCGGUAGGAUCUUCCACGGCGGGUCGAUCUGGCCGCUAAACCCCCCAAUUCUCACCAAAGGUUGACCUCGGAUCAGGUAGGAAUACCCGCUGAACUUAAGCAUAUCAAUAAGCGGAGGA